rfam:Rhodopseudomonas palustris CGA009 complete genome.
ACUUCUAAUGGCGGUGACGGUUCCCGAGAGGGAUGAAAAGGGAAUACGGUGCGGACGCAGACACUUUCGCGUUCUAGGCCGUAGCUGUUCCCGCAACUGUAAGCGGAUCGUCUUUCGUCGGAUGCCACUGGGAACCUCGGUCCUGGGAAGGCGACGGAAGAUCAACCGCGAGCCAGGAGACCUGCCGUCAUUCGUGGUCACAC